ACUGAACGCUGGCGGCAGGCCUAACACAUGCAAGUCGAACGAGGGGCGGACGUGUGAGUAAUGUCUGGGAAAAUGCCUGAUGGAGGGGGCUAACUACUGGAAACGGUAUCUAAUACCGCAUACCAUCGGAUGUGCCCAGAUGGGAUUAGCUAGUAGGUUGGGUAACGGGUCACCUAGGCGAAGAUCCCUAGCUGGUCUGAGAGGAUGACCAGCCACACUGGAACUGAGACACGGUCCAGACUCCUACGGGAGGCAGCAGUGGGGAAUAUUGCACAAUGGACGCAAGUCUGAUGCAGCCAUGCCGCGUGUAUGAAGAAGGUCUUCGGGUUGUAAAGUACUUUCAGCGGGGAGGCGUUAACCAACGAGAAAGCACCGGCUAACUCCGUGCCAGCAGCCGCGGUAAUAC
rnacentral:rRNA from 1 species